rnacentral:rRNA from 1 species
AGAGUUUGAUCAUGGCUCAGAAUCAACGCUGGCGGCGCGCCUAACACAUGCAAGUCGAACGAGAAAGCAGGAGCAAUCUUGUGAGUAAAGUGGCGUACGGGUGAGUAACACGUGGAUUAUCUACCCUCUUGUGGGGGAUAACCCUGGGAAACCGGGGCUAAUACCGCAUAAGCUCGAGAGAGGAAAGCAGCAAUGCGCAGGAGGAGGAGUCCGCGGCCGAUUAGCUAGUUGGUAGGGUAAAAGCCUACCAAAGCUACGAUCGGUAGCCGGCCUGAGAGGGCACACGGCCACACUGGCACUGAAACACGGGCCAGACUCCUACGGGAGGCAGCAGUGGGGAAUCUUGCACAAUGGGGGCAACCCUGAUGCAGCGACGCCGCGUGAGCGAUGAAGCCCUUCGGGGUGUAAAGCUCUUUCGGCAGGGAAGAUUAUGACGGUACCUGCAGAAGCAGCUGCGGCUAACUACGUGCCAGCAGCCGCGGUAAUACGUAGGCAGCAAGCGUUGUUCGGAGUUACUGGGCGUAAAGGGUGUGUAGGCGGUUCUCUAAGUCUGGUGUGAAAUCUCCCGGCUCAACUGGGAGGGUGCGCCGAAAACUGGAGGACUAGAGUGCGGGAUGGGAGAGUGGAAUUCCUGGUGUAGCGGUGAAAUGCGUAGAUAUCAGGAGGAACACCUGUGGUGUAGACGGCUCUCUGGACCGCAACUGACGCUGAGACACGAAAGCGUGGGUAGCAAACAGGAUUAGAUACCCUAGUAGUCC